rnacentral:lncRNA from 1 species
AGAGUUAUUAAAAAAGGGGGGGGUAAGGACUCAAGGAGAGGAAAUGCAACUGUCAGAAAUCGGGACCGCCAGAUUUCCUGGUGAACCUGCCUCUCUCUGAGAGGGUGUCUCACCGAACGGUAGCUAAGAUCUCACCAGAACCGCGCGGAAGUGAGGAGUCGCGGCCAAAGGCGCCCACUGGAGCCUCCUCUCUGGGCCGGACCCCAGCCCGAGCCGCGAAAGGAGCCCCCCGCCCGGACCACAGCUGCUGCAGGUGCCCAGACCUCCAGUCAUUGGGCAGCUCCUCAGAGGCAAGAAGUCAACACCAUGGCAACCCGACAAGCCUAUCAAAUCACCGGCUAGCGUGACAGCAGCUACACUGCAAGCAGAAGUGGGCUGGGCGGAAGAGCAGAGUGGCCACUCCCCUCAGGUACACAGUCUGGGAGUGGACAGCAACUGUCAGCAUCCACGUUCUGGCUACACAGA